UACGUAGGGAGCAAGCGUUGUCCGGAAUCAUUGGGCGUAAAGCGCGCGUAGGUGGCCUCAUAAGUCCGCUGUGAAAGUCAAAGGCUCAACCUUUGAAAGCCGGUGGAUACUGUGGGGCUAGAGUACGGAAGAGGCGAGUGGAAUUCCUGGUGUAGCGGUGGAAUGCGCAGAUAUCAGGAGGAACACCAAUAGCGAAGGCAGCUCGCUGGGACGUUACUGACACUGAGGCGCGAAAGCGUGGGGAGCGAAUGGG
rnacentral:rRNA from 1 species